CACGUAGGAGGCGAGCGUUUGUCCGGAAUCAUUGGGCGUAAAGAGCGCGCAGGCGGUCGAUCAAGUCGAGUGUGAAAGCCCCCGGCUCAACUGGGGAGGGUCAUUCGAUACUGAUCGACUCGAAGGCAGGAGAGGGUAGUGGAAUUCCCGGUGUAGUGGUGAAAUGCGUAGAUAUCGGGAGGAACACCAGUGGCGAAGGCGGGUCUCUGGGCAGUAACUGACGCUGAGGAACGAAAGCGUGGGGAGCAA
rnacentral:rRNA from 1 species